rnacentral:rRNA from 1 species
GACAGAGGUGCCGAGCGUUAGGCGGAAUCACUGGGCUUAAAGCGUGUGUAGGCGGAUGCCUAAGUACCUUGUGAAAUCCCACGGCUUAACCGUGGAACUGCUUGGUAUACUGGGUGUCUUGAGCCACUUAGGGGCGACCGGAACAAACGGUGGAGCGGUGAAAUGCGUAGAUAUCGUUUGGAACGCCAAUGGUGAAAACAGGUCGCUGGGAGUGUGCUGACGCUGAGACAUGAAAGCCAGGGGAGCGAACGGG